GGCUGGUUAGCUCAGUUGGUUAGAGUGUGGUGCUGAUAACACCAACGUCCUAGGUUCGAUCCCUGUAUUGGCCA